UACGUAGGGUGCGAGCGUUGUCCGGAAUUAUUGGGCGUAAAGAGCUUGUAGGCGGUCUGUCGCGUCUGCUGUGAAAAUCCGGGGCUCAACCCCGGACUUGCAGUGGGUACGGGCAGACUAGAGUGUGGUAGGGGAGACUGGAAUUCCGUGGUGUAGCGGUGAAAUGCGUAGAGAUCGGAGGAACACCAGUGGCGAAGGCGGCUUGCUGGGCCGGACCUGGACGCUGAGACGCGAAGGCGUGGGGAGCGAACGGGG
rnacentral:rRNA from 1 species